AUUGAACGCUGGCGGCAGGCCUAACACAUGCGAGUCGAGCGGAUGAAGGGAGCUUGCUCCUGGAUUCAGCGGCGGACGGGUGAGUAAUGCCUAGGAAUCUGCCUGGUAGUGGGGGAUAACGUCCGGAAACGGGCGCUAAUACCGCAUACGUCCUGAGGGAGAAAGUGGGGGAUCUUCGGACCUCACGCUAUCAGAUGAGCCUAGGUCGGAUUAGCUAGUUGGUGGGGUAAAGGCCUACCAAGGCGACGAUCCGUAACUGGUCUGAGAGGAUGAUCAGUCACACUGGAACGGAGACACGGUCCAGACUCCUACGGGACGCAGCAGUGGGGAAUAUUGGACAAUGGGCGAAAGCCUGAUCCAGCCAUGCCGCGUGUGUGAAGAAGGUCUUCGGAUUGUAAAGCACUUUAAGUUGGGAGGAAGGGCAGUAAGUUAAUACCUUGCUGUUUUGACGUUACCAACAGAAUAAGCACCGGCUAACUUCGUG
rnacentral:rRNA from 1 species